rnacentral:tRNA from 1 species
GGAAGUAGCUCAGUGGUACAGCUCCCGCUUCGUAUGCGGGAAGACCUGGGUUUUAGAUUCCCGGCUGCUUCCC